CUCCAGGGUUGUCAGUUCCUCCUUGCCGUGACUCAUGCCUAUUGUGCCAGGCAGGGAGCACUCUGCCCUGCAGCCUUACAGGUGGUAUCGACCGGCUCGGGGAGACAGUUCCCGCCAGGCUACGCAGUGGAGCGCCGCACAGCGCGCCUUCCCUCCUCCUAGCUGCCAGCCCAGCAGUUCCAACCCAGCACCAGCAGGCCUGCUUGGUCGAUCUUCGAUCCAAAGAUGAGGCGCGGCUGGAAGAUGGCUCUGUCCUGGGGGCUGCGGUGCUGCCGCCGAGUACUUUCCUGGGUGCCUGUGCUUGUUAUCGUCCUCGUUGUGCUUUGGUCCUACUAUGCCUAUGUCUUUGAACUCUGCCUAGUGACUGUUUUGAGCCCAGCAGAAAAAGUUAUCUACCUCAUAUUCUACCAUGCCAUCUUUGUGUUCUUUACCUGGACCUACUGGAAGUCUAUAUUUACACUUCCACAACAGCCAAACCAGAAGUUCCACUUGUCCUAUUCAGACAAAGAACGCUAUGAAAAUGAAGAAAGACCUGAGGUCCAGAAGCAGAUGCUCAUCGAUAUGGCCAAAAAGCUACCAGUUUACACAAGAACUGGGAGUGGAGCUGUUAGAUUCUGUGACCGGUGCCAUUUAAUCAAGCCAGAUCGCUGCCACCACUGCUCUGUCUGUGCCAUGUGUGUAUUAAAAAUGGACCAUCAUUGCCCUUGGGUUAAUAAUUGCAUUGGAUUUUCCAACUACAAAUUCUUUCUUCAGUUUUUAGCUUAUUCUGUUCUCUACUGCCUGUACAUUGCUACAACAGUCUUCAACUAUUUCAUCAAAUACUGGAGAGGGGAAUUGCCCAGUGUUCGCUCAAAGUUCCAUGUUCUUUUUCUCCUCUUUGUGGCCUGCAUGUUUUUUGUCAGCCUUGUGAUUCUCUUUGGUUACCAUUGUUGGCUUGUCAGCAGAAACAAAACCACCUUAGAGGCCUUCUGUACUCCAGUGUUUACAAGUGGCCCAGAGAAAAAUGGGUUCAACCUUGGCUUCAUCAAAAAUAUCCAGCAGGUGUUUGGAGAUAACAAGAAGUUCUGGUUAAUACCUAUUGGGUCCAGCCCUGGUGAUGGACACUCCUUCCCUAUGAGAUCUAUGAAUGAGUCACAGAACCCACUGCUAGCAAAUGAAGAGCCUUGGGAAGAAAAUGAGGAUGAAAACCGAGAUUAUCCAGAAGUUUCAUCAUCUCUUGCUGUGGAAACAGAAACAUAGCAGUUUACACAUUUCCUGCAUCUCUCAGGAUUCUUUCCUGAACUCCAGACCUGAAUAACCAAGUGCUUUUCAACUUCACCCACCCAAAAACCUAUUUCCUGUUUUGUUCCCACUCCAUCUCCUACCCACAUCCAAUUAAUCACCAAGGACCCUCCAUCUCCCAUGAGGCUUACAGAAUUCAAUGUUGGGAACCAUUUUAAUCUUCAAAAUAAGUCACCAUAGUGGAUUGAAAGCUUCACAAUUUAAAAGCAUUCCAUCAAAUAUUUGCUGUGCAGAUAGAUGUUUCAGGACUUUACAAGCUAUUUAAUUUACUAACUGAACCCAUUGAUCUGGUAGCAAUUAACUCAAGACAGUCUUCCUCUCUUUCUUCAUUUCUCCUCCCCAAUCUGUAAAAACCUGAAUGUAACAUAUAUACCUUCCCAGAGACUCUUGUUAUUUCUCUUGUCGGGUAAAGAGGAAUUCACAAGACUUCCAUGGAGUCUUUCACUCCCCUGGAAAGACUGUUAAUUAUCUUUAUAGGGUCUUUGUGGUAUGAGGGGAAUCAGAUAUGUUUGCUGCUUGUGUGCCUGUGCAUUUAUAAGCAUGCAUAUGUGCAGCAUAUUUACACAAAAUUCUGCUGCGUGUUAUGAAAAUCAAGGUUAAAAUCCAAGGUUUUUAUUCAACUCUGCGUUUUUCCCUAAAUAGCAAUUUAAAUAUUUGCUGGGCUGUGAAAACCAUCCCUAUAUCAGGCAUGUAAAAUUCAAGAGGCAGAUUCAACACCCCAUAAUCAAGGUCCUCAGUUGGGAAUUGAACAAUGCAAAGCCUGUUCUCUGUCAUAAAUGUGUAAUGUUCCUGAAAGCACCACAACUAAUAGAGAAGAUCAGAUCUCCACUUUAUUAAAUAAACAUAAGUGUUUUAAGGACUUUUAAUGUCAGGCUUUGGUAAAAUUCUCCAGUUACUUUUAUUAUUUUCUCUGAUACCUAGCUUUUUUUGCCUAUAUUAAUUGUUCUUAUGAUGAAAGAAAAACCAUAACCCUAAGUUAUGGACCAUAGGUUUUGUUAGGGGCUUAAAGAUAAUUUUCAGGUUUAAUUACAAAACUGUUCAUAAGGUAAGGCUUCAAAGUUGAAAUUAGCCUAAGGAUUAGCACUAAAGAUCUUUGUUUUCACAGCAGGGGUUAGUGUACAGACAAUGAUAACCCAUAGUAAUAUGCCAAUACUUUCUUUUCCUUUUUUUUUCCUUUUUUUUCCUUGUUGUAGCUUCAGUGGUAGCUCAGCCAUUAAGAUAGUUUACAUUCAUUUUCCCAUUUAUUUAUAAUCAACCUUUCUUUUAGUCCUAGUGCCCAAAUCAAUGAGUAUGAACACUAAUGCUGCUUCUUUAUAAUAAUACCUAAGAACAUUGAUGGUUUUCAUUUCUCAGCCAGUGUUCUUGUGCCCAGCUACUGACAACAGAAGUCCCAACUCUUGCAGAGAUAAGUGGGAAUUAGAGGCAUCUUACAGAUACCAAGGAGUUAAGCUCCUAUAAGGACAUUAGGUUUACUAAAUUAUGCCCCCUAAAACCUUUUUGAGUAAAAGAAAACUUGCCUACUACAAACUAUUUGAUGUUCAAACUCCAGUGGAGGUGAGAAGGUGAGCAAUUUAGCUACUUAAAGAAACAAAAAAAACUUGUUCAUUUAGAUCCUCUAGGUAAUUUUGGUUGAGGUAAGACUUUUAGCAUAAAUUAAAUGGAUUGUGGCCAGCAUUUCAUUUGAAAGAAUACUAUACGUGACAAAAUCUAUUAGGGCCAGGGAAUGUUUCUCAAACUCAGAUGCUAAGAAGCAACCUAGAAGACUAUACACACUAGGUUUCACAAUGACCUCAUGUAUGGGAAGCUUUAUCCCCCUUUCUUUCUUCCUCCAAAACACUCUCUUGUUUAGGUUUUUCUUGAAAGUUUAUUUGGCCAUUCACAUGGUCUUAUGAUGGACAAACCUUGCCUUUUAUUGAUAUAGUAAUGCACCUUUCUCUAAAGAUAGGCCAUUAUUUACUCCACAGUCAGUGGGCUUCGAAGAGGUCUCUCUCUUUCCCAUCAUCUUCUGCCAAGGUUUAGGCAGGGUAGCUUCUCACUAUGAUUCAAAGUCAGGAAAGAAUCGACCAUUUCUUUGAUGCAUAGAGUGUAUCAGAGUUUGGCACUGAUAGAAAUCAGGUCAUAAAAGAUAGUAUCAAGAAAUUAUAGGGAAGUACUGGAAGGAAGAGUAAAGCUCAGGAGAGCUAUAAUGCAAAGCUGACUUAAACCAUCUUCAAAGGGCAAAUAAAUAAGAGUUUUAAGUGGGGGGGGGGGCUUGGAGAAAUAAAUCCUAUUCCUAUCUCAGCACCUUUAUUCCACUAGCUUAUAGACUCUAAUAAUACCCCUAUCCAUAGAUCAUUGAGUAUUGCCUACCGUACAUAGGCACUCCCCCUCAUUGAUUGACUAUUGAUUGACAGAGAGAUUAACCUAAUAAUUAGUAUAUCUUGAUCUGGCUCUGUUGCUUGUUUUCCUUGAGGCCCUGUCAAAUAACCUCUGUGGGAUCUCAUUCCCCAAUUUUUUGGUACCCAUAUUCCACAUUUGCAAAAUUAAGAUACUCAUUAUUAGGAUCCUAAAACUACUAAAGGUGCUAUGUAACUCCCUAGUGCUCUUAUAUAAGUCUUUCAUUGAAGGACUGGGAUGAAAACUUGAACCAUAACUAACCUAAUCAGUGUGCUCCAUUCUUUCUUCCAUGCUCUCAUUGCUGACUUGUUCUUGCAGAGUUUAGAAUACUUUAUUAAAGUUCUUCAAUUCAUUCUAACAAUGUCCUUGGAAUAGAAAUUAUUUUACCCAUGGAACAUCUAGGAAAAUUAAGGCCAAAAAAAAAAAAUGAAGUGGCCUCCAAAAGCACAUAGCUGUCUGGGACAGAACUCAGUUAUCAUGUCCAGUGAAUGUUAGACUGACUUGGCUUCCCAGUACUGGAAUUACCAUGGAACAGCUUAGAACACUGAGAUAAAUUAGGGCAGGAUCACAUUUCAGAAAAUUUCCACUUUGUCCAACAUCUAAAAGUAUGCAAUUAAAUAACUCUUAUUUUCUAUGUGAUAUGUUAUAUAUGUCUCUUUCCCACAUUGGUCCCAUGUAACUCACAUAUUUCACACUAUGCGACAUCAGCCAUUGCCAUUAUCUCCUCUGGCACCCAUAGAGCCCAAUCUCAGGCCUGUCUUUGCCAGAGAAAAGAAUGUGCUUCCCCAUGUUUAUGCCAAAUUGCACAAAGCGUAGACAUUGAGGUUAAUGGAGAUUUAAGCACAAUCCCAAGCAGGUAUGUUUUAAGAAUAUUGAAUGUACAUUAUUGUGACAUGCACCUGAAAUGUAACAUGGCCUAAAUUCAUAGGAAUGUAACAGUCAUGCAAAGCCUAUCCCUUUUACCUCUCAUCACACAUAUAUGUCUACUACAUACAUGUGUGCACACAUAUACGCACACUACAUGCUUCCCUCAAAGUAGGCUGCUUGGUCAUCAGGUGCAAAUACUUUAAAGGAAUGAUUCUUUGUCCUCUCCUUUUAGAAAAAAGUCCAACAGCCACUUCAAGUGAAGAACACUCCAUUUAUACAUUCUAAAACUUCUACUUCCAGAGUAGCUAUGAUAUUCAGUUGGUGCAAAAGACAAGGUUGUUAAACCCUUUCACAAGUCCUAUGUUCUUAGAAAAUUGAUGAGUUCCAUGUAAUCAGUAGGAAAUGGUUUAUGAGGCAUGGUACAUCUGCAUUUCUUUAACCUUUGCUGUAAUGUACCAUAUUAAGUUGUAGUCUUUUGCAUGCAGGUGUUAUGUAAUAUAAUAAUGAAUGGAUGACUCCUAAGAGCAUGCAACCAACAACUAUUUGCUUCCCCAAAAGGGCUAGGACUGUGUCCUGCAGUGUUUAAAACUAUUACAUUUGUUUUUUGUAGCAGAGUGGUAUGUGGCCAUCAGCAGAAUGAGUUAAGAUGGACAAUGAGUGCAAUAUAUCAGGAAACAGAUUUUUUGUAGGGAAUGACAGUAAAAGCAAAAAAAACAACAAAAAAAAAACAAGGUAAGAUGUAUUCAAGGAAUAAUUGCUGUCACCCUGCUGGAUAAAUCAGCAAAGAGACACAGCAUGAAAGCUGGUACUUAGUCUUGGUAAUAUAUGAAAUAUGUUGGAGAGCCAGAAAAAGAAAGGCACUGGGGCUCUAGCAGUUAAGCUCAACUUGCCAAUUUGCUACAAAUCCUUUUUUUCCACUAAUCUGCUCAAAGUUAUUGUAUACAGUAUUCUCUAAAUCAUGUGUCUUGCUACAGAAAUAUCCACAAAUACUAAGUUUUAUCUUCCUAUGUCCUUUAUUAAAAGCAUAUGCAUAAAA